CACCUCGUCCACAGUGUGAACUGAAAAAUGACAGCUUUGUCAGUUGUGCAAGCUAAAUUACUCCCUAAAAGAUGGAGACGUUGGAAGAACUCAAGAUGAAGACAAAAAUUAACACUAGAUUUGUAAGAUUGAGUGUGGCAUCAAAGUGGUGUUUCAGAGAUGCAUGCCACAUGAUCCUACACGACUUGGAUGAGCUCUGCAAGAAACACAAGCCAGCCCUCUGCGCACGUGUGUGGAGAAGGGCAGGUUAGGGAAGACCCAGAAGCCCAGCCCCAGCAACGUGAAAUGACGUCCCCCAACGAAGAAGCGAAAUGCACAGGUGAGGUUUGAGCCUUUUCUGCUCUCAUGAAGUAUGUUCAUGAGAAAAACAACUCAUGAACUUCAGCAAUUAUUUCAGUGCUGAAGAAUUAAUAAACUGAAGAGAAAAAAGAAUGCAAAGAGAAAAAAAGAUCUACCUGUGUGAAAGCAUCUGGAUGAAGUCCCCUGAUGACAGCUAACAACUGUGGAACUCUGUGAUA